AUGAAGGAGGACGGGUCUCCUUUUGAUCAGGAUGACUUCAUAGCCUGCGUCCGUGAAGUCCGGCCUCAGGCGACUGGUCUUGGAGAUGACACCAAUGUGGACAAGUACCAGCCGGGUUUUGAUAGUGAGAAUAAGAAGAUGGCCCCUCCCUCAUAUAAAGGAACAUACUUGAUCCCACCAGUGAGAGAAGAUACAUUUGCCCCAGAGGUUGACCCGGUCGGCUUAAUUGACGACGAAGCCAAAUUUGUCGCCAUGAACGGCUUUGAUUGGUCAAAACCCAACUUCCAGCAGACUCAAGAUGGUGAACCGGCGAGGGAGGGACAAUGCUCAUCUUCAUGGGUUUAUAAAGCCUUGUAA
rnacentral:rRNA from 1 species